CUCCUUCACAACAUCCAUGAAGCUUCUGUGUGGUCUUCCUCUUCUCCUCCAUCGUCUGUGAUUACCACUAACUGUCCUCUGCAUGUGACCAAACCAUCUCCACCAUCACUGUCUUACUUCUUUUUGGUCAUGUGAUCUCCACCCUACGCUGCACGUGUCAUAUGAUGACAUGACGGGAGAUCAAAGGACUGAAUAUUCAAACACACACGUCCACAUCAUGAAUGUGAAGCCCUAUAACUGACGUCCUUGUGCGUGUGUCGACUCAAGCAGAGCUCAGUGAUGCAACACUGCAGACACCCGCUGACGUGAAACACAUGAAGACGUCAUAAAAGGACGAGACAGUCUCACUCCUGUAAAACAUCAGCACGAGUAAAGCAGCUGUGUCCAACAUGAACGCCAUGGGAGACGGACAACAUAACGGAAGAAACUGUCCGUCUUUUCACAUCUUAUUUCCUAUAGGCAGAGUGCCACCAGCUAAUCAGCUGAACAACGAGACGAUUGCUUUUUUGGAGCACUAUGUGCGAGCGAUAGGAAAUGAAGAACAGUUCAGGGGACUCAUGAUCCACUUUCACAACGUACAUCAGCAACAAGUGGAAAUGCAAUUUCGACUUCAACAAAGACUGAACGGGCACAGGCUAUGACCACACGGGGACGGAGACACCAGAGGUUCAUGAAGGAAUGUUCAACGUCUACUUUGCAUUUCAAUAUUAUCUUAGACAUUAUUUUAAUAAUAACCAGACAACAGCAUCCGCAUCAGUGACCCGUUAGCUGCUCUUGUCGAGGCACUGCUGUGUUUUUGGGAGCCAGUAGCAGGCAGAAGACGGUUUUCUUUUCUUUAGUUUGCGUUUGUUUUUAUCUGCUCGCUUCCCCGUUCGUAACAGACGCAGUUCCAAUAUCGAUGUAGUCAGUACAGUACUGUAAAAACAUACAAGUAUGUGUUGUUUUGUUCUAUUAGUGCGUCAGACCUGUUGACUUAUAGUGUGCACAGGUGUGCAGCGGAACUUCAUCCCUGUCCGAUGAACAGAUGGAGGUCAAUGUAUGGGAAGUGGGUGAUGCAGAUCUGACAUAAUAAAUCUAUUUCAAUUCUA